GACUUGGAAGAGAGAGCCUGUCUAGUAUACUGCAGACAUCUCUCACAGCAUAGGUUCACUAAGUCUAGUCUGUGCGGUGGUGGUUCUUCUGUGGACUUGGAAGAGAGAGCCUGUGUAGUAUACUGCAGACAUCUCUCACAGCAUAGGUUCACUACAUCUAGCCUGUGCGGUGGUGGUUCUACU